rnacentral:lncRNA from 12 species
AACGCGGCAUCUGUGUCACGGUGCGGCCCCGCCCGCGCCGUCCCCGCGUCCCCGCGUCCCCGCCGCUGGGCUCCGGGCAGGCGGCCGGGCGCGGGGCGCGGGGCCGGGGGACGCCGGGACGCGGAGCGCGCGGGGACGUGGGGCCGGGGCCGGGGCGGGGGCGGGGGCGCAGGGCGGGGGCGCAGGGCGGGGGCCCGGGCCGCUCGGGCCGCACUCACCGCCCAGGCGCGUCCCCGGUGGCGGUGGCGGUGGCGGUGGCGGGGACCGCCGAGCCUGGCCGCCGCGGAGUCCGCCGGACGCGCAGGAAAGGAAGGGCCGGAGAGCUCCGGCUCCCUCCCCUGGGACACUUCCUGCUCCGCUCUAGGACCGGGGAGGUCUCCUCGUCUCAGUGGUUCGCUCCCUCCGCCCCCGGCCGAGGUGUGCGCUAGGGGUGACACCCGACACCCCCGCCCCCGGCGUGGUCCGGCCGGCGCGCCCCGCCCGCCCCGCCCGCCCCGGCUCCGCGCGCCCGGGCCUCGGCGUCCGGCCGGGGGCUUUGUGGGCCGGCGCCCGGCGGCACCAACGACGCGGGGCGCGCGCGGGGGAGGGGGCGUUGGCGGGCUGCCGGGGGGGGGGGGGGGGCGGCGGGGCGCGCGCGGGGCCCUCCCGCCGCCACGCCCCCAGCCCGGCCGCCCCAGGGCCUGCGGCACCGCCGAGGGCCGAGCGCGACCCCUGAGCCGCGCCCGAGUGCUGGAAGGGGCGGGGCGGGGGGGGCACCCGGCAUCGGCGCUCCGGGGGCUGCUCCGUCUCCGCGCGCGCCUGUGGCCCUGGCGACCCCACGGCCGGGGGGACCCAGUCCUGCUGCCGCCAGAGCCCCUCCGGCCCGCCCGGCCGUGGCCGUUGCUGAGGCCAGGGCUGGGGGGAGGUGGGGGAGACGGCGCCCUCCUCCCGCCCCAUCCGCGGCGGGACACCCGGCAGUCCCCGAGUGAAGCGGGUGGAGCCCGCGCCCUGCUGGGACGGAGCGCGUUUGCGGAAUGUCAGUUAAGAAAGGCUGCCCCUGCGUGGCCCUUGUGCGCGUCGGGACAACCCUAUGGUCAGCCCGGGUCCCAGUGGGCAGCCGGGAAGCUACGAGCUCGCUUUAGGGGGGAAGGCCACUUGGAUGUUCACAUGGUGGCGCACAGAGAGGUUUUGAGCCUUUGGAGUCCAGUGCCAUUGCCUGCCCCCCAAAGGGCUCCUUGA